UUGUGUCUUGAUUUCGUGCCAUUACCGCUGCUAUUUGACUAAUAUUGAUGGCACUACAACCACAACUCAAAACUGUAAUGCAAUGGGAUUUCGGCAUAGUGUCUAGAGGCUGAUAUGCUACACUACACCUGCUAUAGCGGUCGAUGUGACUGCUAUUGACCAUAGACUUUGAGAGGUUAUUAUAAUUUCAGCUUUUUCAAGACACUACUCAAAUAGCUUCUCAUUUUUUUUUCAGUUAACUUUUUUAUAACAGUUUUAACAAAUAUGCUAAAAGUUUUAAAAAAAUAUAUUUUUUUUCUUCUCAAAAUUAAACUGAUUUUCUUGUGAAAAUAAGUUGAAAUGAAUAAGCAAUUAGUCUAAAAAUCAUGUAGUUUUCAUGAUAACAAGUUAUACAAAUUUGGAUUACUCUUCUUGUCCUGUAUAUGAUAACCAAAUAAGGAUUGCAUUAAUUGUCUAAUCUGAAUUAUUGAUAGUGUAGCAUAGUUGUCGGUCAGGAGAAUCCAUAAAAUUCUGGUGUGAUUCUUGAGAAUAUCAAAGUUAUGUUGGAUUCAUCCCUCUCCAUUACAAGGCAUCCUUAACUAAGAAGGAAACUCAAAAUAGAUAGAUAGAGUAGACUAACAUUACAAACUAGGGCUGCAUUUAGAUUGACUUUUUUUUUUUAAUGGAAUUUAGAUUGACUUAUGAACAACUAAUUUGGACUUAUCUGUGCAUAAGCACUUGUUGGGUUGUUUGGAAAAUUGCUAAUGGAUGUAACUUAUGACAUGUUUAAGCUAUUUUCAAUAAACUCUCGAGGAUAACUUAUCCAAACAGCUUAUAGCGCUUAUAAGAUAAACUUGUAAUUAGCCUGUUUCUGUCAGCAGGCCCUUGUUUUCAUUUCUUAUUUUGUUAAGAAUUUGGACUUGUGCAUUUGGCUACACCCUGAAAUUUGACACUUAAAUGCUGAAGACUUUUAUGGAAACCAAUUCAAAUUCACAAAAUGAAUUUGGAUUUGCAAAAUUUGUUGUUUAAUUCGAUGGCUUUUGGGCUGGGUAGUUCAGACCAGCUGCUUUAUUUAUUAGUGGACCUGCUCAAUUUAAGCAUGCAUAUUAUAUAUAUCUUAGACUUCUUCUGACUGAUAAAAAGCAGUUUGGAAUCAAAUAGGAAUGUGCAACUUUAACAGACUUCUUAUAGUUCAUUCUAUUUAGGUAAUUAUGAUUUUACAUCUUUAAAAAUGUAGAUAAUUGUAAAGUUACUUUUGUCCUUCGCUGAGCUUUGGUUGUGUUCUGUUCUCAAUCAUCAUUUUCAAAAGUUUAUUGUGCAGACUGAUAUGUAUGUUCUUGGUAUUUCUUAAAACUUGUGGGCAUGGCUGUUCAUUUAUAUUGUUCUUGAAGUAGAUGAGAUCAUACAUUAGUUCUAUGGUUUCUUUGUGAUUCUAACAUCUUAUGUAUUCACAUCCAUUACCUUACAGAGAAAGUCAUGUUGGCAGCAGCAGAUGUUUUGGGAGGCUGACUAGAAUUGUUUGUUCGCCUGCAUUCAAGGAUUCUAUUCAGAUUCUCUAAUCAUGCAGCUUUUAUAAAAAUGAGUAUUGUAAUUUGGAGUUAGAAUUGUUAACUAUUUUAGGAAUAUAAAAUGUCAAGGCUUUCUAUUAGAACAUUUGAAAGGUACGAUUUGUGUUGGUGUAUUUUAUUUCAUACUUUACAAUUUCGAUUUCUAUAGGUUUUUCCGAAUAAAGAAAUAAAAAUGCAGAUAGGUUAAUAUUUUAAAUGUUCAAAUGCUUGAACAUAGAAGUGCAUGCUUGGAUGAGUUAUAGAAUGACUCGAAAGAAAAAGGUGGACGCUUUCCCAACACAAUAAUCUACUAGAAGGAAGACUUAGGGAGUACAAAUUUGAAUAAAAUACUCUACAGGAAAAUGUUUCCCUUAGUGUUUUUUUAACUUGUGAGCAAACAUUGGGGUGGAUGCAUAAUCACCAAAAGAAAAACUGCAAAAUGCAUUUUGACCCAAAAGUUGUGCGACGAAUUCUCCUCCUAGGUUACAUUUUUAUUAAGCCACAGCAAGAACAUAUUUGCAUUGCUUUGAGUAACCAUCGACACAGUUGUAUUUCAUUAUAUCCAAAUUCCAAAGUAAAUUUCUCAACAAUUUGUCUUUUGAUUAUUUCACUCAUUCCUUUGCCUUUUACAAUGCUUAUUUUAACUUUGCAUCAUUCUUUGUUGUGUUGUCAUCGUUGUCUAUUUCUCCAUUUCAUGUUAAC
rnacentral:lncRNA from 1 species